GCCCAGACUCCUACGGGAGGCAGCAGUGGGGAAUAUUGCACAAUGGGGGAAACCCUGAUGCAGCGACGCCGCGUGAGCGAUGAAGUAUUUCGGUAUGUAAAGCUCUAUCAGCAGGGAAGAAGGUGACGGUACCUGACUAAGAAGCCCCGGCUAACUACGUGCCAGCAGCCGCGGUAAUACGUAGGGGGCAAGCGUUAUCCGGAUUUACUGGGUGUAAAGGGAGCGUAGACGGCGAUGCAAGCCAGAUGUGAAAGCCCGGGGCUCAACCCCGGGACUGCAUUUGGAACUGUGUGGCUGGAGUGUCGGAGAGGCAGGCGGAAUUCCUAGUGUAGCGGUGAAAUGCGUAGAUAUUAGGAGGAACACCAGUGGCGAAGGCGGCCUGCUGGACGAUGACUGACGUUGAGGCUCGAAAGCGUGGGGAGCAAACAGGAUUAGAUACCCCUGUAAUU
rnacentral:rRNA from 1 species